rnacentral:lncRNA from 1 species
AGGACUUACUCUCGGAGUUAGGCUUAUCCUGAAGCACACAGCCAUGAGAAAAGGGCUAAGAACUGGAACAAAAUGGAUUUCUUUGGAGUAGAAAAGAGGGGGUGUACCAAUGAUCUGUCAAGUGAUGCGACACUAGAAUCAGGCUGGAAUUUGGCGUCUUACGGCUACAAAAGUGUUUCAUCAGUCUUCAGGUCUCUGUGCUGAUGUUAAUGCUGGUCAGCUGUGCCUGAAUUCCAACGGGAGGAAGGAAAGAUGAUGUGCAGAGACACAGGGAGAAGACGGCCAUCCACAAGCCAAGGCGAGAGGCCUGGACAGAUCUUUCCCUCACAGUCCUCGGAAAGAACCAAUCCUUUGAACUUCUUGAUUGUGGACUUCUAGGCUCCGGAAGUGUGAGGCAAUAAAUUUAUGUUAUUUGAGCCCCAGUUUUGUGGGUACCUUAUCUGGCAGGUCUAAGAAACGAACACAGACAUGCCAGUCUCAUGGCAGAGGGAAAAAAGUAUAUGCAUGGAAAUAUUCAGUGGUUUUUCAAGCUUCUGCUCAGAACUAGCUUACAUAAUUUCCCCUCGCUCUCCCCUGGCCAAACCUAACAAUGGGGUGACUCUGAUUGGAAUCUAGAGGAACCACAGAUGCAUAUGUCUGCUAAGUGCUGAGGAACAGGAAGGAUGGGGCCUGGAGAGAAAAACAAAGGCAAAUUUACCCCAGUUUUCAGGGGCUUCGGUAGAUGAAGCUCUGCUAGAGGAGAGACCUGUAAUAAACACAAUCUCCAACAUGAAGCGAGCUGGGUUUUCUCUAAAGCUGCAUCCAUCCCAAGUCAGCUCAACUCCUGAUUAGAA